AAGCAAACGAACGACUACUCCCUCUCUCUCUCUCUGUUCAUCAUCUCUUCAUGACAGCAACAUGCACUCCCCUCUGCCAUCUCUCAAUCUCUCUUGAAGACAACAAACCCAAGGCCAAGACAACAUCAAAGGAGAAGACCAAGACUAUUAUUGUUGAUUGAUGGAUUCAAAUUUUUUUAUUUUGGUUGAACUUUUUUUAAUCUAUUCACUAUCUAGUUAGUCUAAUUUGUAUCAUGGAAGAGUCUAUUUAUCUUUUAAUGUUAUGGAUGAUUGUAAUAACUUUAGGACUUAUGUUUGGAUGAUUGUAAUAUUUUGGUUGGUUAGAUUUUAACUACUAAGACUUCAUUUUGUUGUUUUUAUGUUUUAAUUCGAUCAUUUUUUUUUCAAAA